rnacentral:rRNA from 1 species
UUAUUGUGCCACGCCGCCGCGGUAAUACGUAGGUGGCAAGCGUUAUCCGGAUUUAUUGGGCGUAAAGCGAGCGCAGGCGGUCUUUUAAGUCUAAUGUGAAAGCCUUCGGCUCAACCGAAGAAGUGCAUUGGAAACUGGGAGACUUGAGUGCAGAAGAGGACAGUGGAACUCCAUGUGUAGCGGUGAAAUGCGUAGAUAUAUGGAAGAACACCAGUGGCGAAGGCGGCUGUCUGGUCUGCAACUGACGCUGAGGCUCGAAAGCAUGGGUAGCGAACAGGAUUAGAUACCCUGGUAGUCCAUGCCGUAAACGAUGAUUACUAAGUGUUGGAGGGUUUCCGCCCUUCAGUGCUGCAGCUAACGCAUUAAGUAAUCCGCCUGGGGAGUACGACCGCAAGGUUGAAACUCAAAAGAAUUGACGGGGGCCCGCACAAGCGGUGGAGCAUGUGGUUUAAUUCGAAGCUACGCGAAGAACCUUACCAGGUCUUGACAUCUUCUGACAGUCUAAGAGAUUAGAGGUUCCCUUCGGGGACAGAAUGACAGGUGGUGCAUGGUUGUCGUCAGCUCGUGUCGUGAGAUGUUGGGUUAAGUCCCGCAACGAGCGCAACCCUUAUUACUAGUUGCCAGCAUUAAGUUGGGCACUCUAGUGAGACUGCCGGUGACAAACCGGAGGAAGGUGGGGACGACGUCAAAUCAUCAUGCCCCUUAUGACCUGGGCUACACACGUGCUACAAUGGAUGGUACAACGAGUCGCGAGACCGCGAGGUUAAGCUAAUCUCUUAAAACCAUUCUCAGUUCGGACUGUAGGCUGCAACUCGCCUACACGAAGUCGGAAUCGCUAGUAAUCGCGGAUCAGCAUGCCGCGGUGAAUACGUUCCCGGGCCUUGUACACACCGCCCGUCACACCAUGAGAGUUUGUAACACCCAAAGCCGGUGGGGUAACCUUUAGGAGCUAGCCGUCUAAAGUUAAACACAUAUUU